AUAAAUUCAUAGUUCUUAAAGUUAAAUAGCAUAAACUCAAGUAAACAUCACUCCAAUCAAGUAAUAGAAUGUUUCUAUUGUGACAAAAAGUUCCCUGGGCCCCUCUCCAAUCACUCCCCGUGUCCCUUUCAACAUAAUCUAUCUUUUAACUUAAGUCAUGGGUCAACAACAUAUUGAAGUAUCAGAAAACGAAAAGAGAAAAGAAAAGAAACUUCUUAGGUAAUUUUGAGUUACACAAUGGAAAACCUGAUUCUCGUAACUUCCAAUUAAUUACAACAGCUGCAUUGUUAUAUAUAAUACUCUGUCUUCAAGUGACUAUUUGAUUUUUGAAAUGAUUACUAUUAACCUGAAUAGUAAAUAAAAUACACGCCCUACUCACACAUCUAGGUGGCAAUAUGAUAUAUUUCUAGCCGGCCUGGAUCAGGUACCAGGUGGUGUCCCCUUUCAGUUUGGGACACAGACACUAUAUAGAUUUACGUACCAUGUGAUUUCCAGACUUAGUCCAGUAAUGUCAAAACUUGAUAUAGUACAUUAGCUGUAAUAAUUACUUUAGAAUUCAUUUUUUCUUUGUUUACAAUAUAGUCAAGUGAAGUGGUGACUGUGGACAGCUGCUGCUCGCUGUGAAGGUACUGUGAAGGUACUGUGAAGGUUGCGAUACACUUCUCCUUUUCUCUGUUAGGAGUAACCCACUGCUUCCUUUGCCCUUUGUGCUUUCUUCACAUCUCUUAAUGUGACUCAGGUCACUGUGCUGGGAGUUUGAGAUACUUCCAAAGGUGGACUAGAAACCCUCCCCAUCUCAUGAAAGUCAGACUCUACUAGGGUUGCAGACACGUGAGCAAUUACCAUACAGCCUGACAACUCGACUUUUCUCCUCACUAAACACAGAAUGAAACAAACAAGUGAAAACAACAGGGAAAUACAGAGACACUACCACAAAGCGACUGUUGUUUUGAUCCAGAUUGUUAGAAACUGACAAACCAGUGCUUCUCUGUUCCCAUUGCUGUGAAAUACAUCACCAUCAUUGUGAAAUUCUUGAGAUGCAAGCAGGCCAUCUUAUCUACUCCCAUGAUUUCAACAGGCUGCCCAUUACUACAUGUGUGACCUUUAAGACCCUUCUCCCUCACUUCACUACAACCACAGAUUUGCUGGGACCCUGCGUAAUACUUGGCACGUAGUAAGGUGCUUAA